UCAAAAACAUGUCUUAUUGAAUAUAAUUUUAAGUUUGACCUGCCCCCUGAAAUCUUUAAAUGGCUGCGGUAUUUUGACUGUACUAAGGUAGCAUAAUCAUUAGUUUCUUAAUUAGAAGCUGGUAUGAAUGGUUUUAUGAGAAAAAGACUGUCUCUAUUUAAAUUUAUUAUAAGUUUAUUUUUUAGUUAAAAAGCUAAAAUUAUUUUGAAAGACGAGACGACCCUAUAGAGUUUUAUAAUAUUUAUAGUUUCAUAUUAAAAAGAAUUUUAAAUUUUUAAAUUAUGGUAUUAUUUAGUUGGGGUGAUUGAAAAAUUAAUUUAACUUUUUUUAUUAUUAUACAUUAAUUUAUGAAUUUAUGAUCCCUUAUUUAUGAUUAAAAGUUAUAAUUACCUUAGGGAUAACAGCGUAAUUUUUUCAAAGAGUUCUUAUCGAAGAAAAAGAUUGCGACCUCGAUGUUGGAUUAAAAUUAA
rnacentral:rRNA from 1 species